UACAGAGGGUGCGAGCGUAAUCGGAAUUACUGGGCGUAAAGCGCGCGUAGGCGGCUUUGCAAGUCGGGUGUGAAAUCCCCAGGCUUAACCUGGGAACUGCAUUCGAGACUGCAUUGCUAGAGUAUGGGAGAGGGAAGUGGAAUUUCCGGUGUAGCGGUGAAAUGCGUAGAUAUCGGAAGGAACAUCAGUGGCGAAAGCGACUUCCUGGACCAAUACUGACGCUCAUGUGCGAAAGCGUGGGGAGCAAACAGG
rnacentral:rRNA from 1 species